rnacentral:rRNA from 1 species
AUCACAUUUUCAGGGAGAUUGGUUGAUUCGGCGUUAGCCGGAUGGUGAGUCUUGUUUAAACACUCCUUAGGGGUUGCGGCACUCGCUUAGCGGUUCAGACUUCCUAUGCAACCGAAACCAGUAACCCAACACCGACAAGACAAGCUGUCAGUAUCGACCAAUACACCUUUUGUGGAGAUGCUCUCAUGAGCGUGCAACCUUAACGCGCCGUUUGGUCAUCCCACAGCGCAGUUCUGCUUACCAAAAAAUGCCCACUGCGCGCCCACUUCGCAUUCACGCUUUAUAAGUAGAGCGUGAGGCCCGCCUCAAUUUAACACGCAGCAUCUUACCCUAUUUAAUAUUGCGAGAAUAGGCAGGUCGUUUCGACCCCAAUGCCUCUAAUCAUUUCGCUUUACGGAUAAACUUUUUCCGAGUGCCUAUCCUGCAGGCGAAAUCAUCUCUCUCCCCCCGAUAGAGAUUUCCCUUCAGGAACUAGUUCCGUGAUGACCUUCGCCAUCUAUAAUCAGUACCUAUACCGGUCCAGCGAAUGGGGCGGGGUCUCGUGAACGGACCUGACCUUGGUCAAACUUUAAAUGGCGUAAGAGCUCGUCUCCCAAGCACCUCUCUAUAAACGAAGUGAAGCUCACUAAGCAAAACUGCGCGCUGUGGGAUGAACUGUUCAAACGCGCGAUUGCAAGGCGCCCAAUGCUUGUUGACCUCAGGUAAAAGGAUCGGGAGCAGCACAAGAAGUGUGGUUGAGCGCAGAACGGAUACUGGACAGCAGGACGGUGCCAUGGAAGUCGGAACCACGCGGCGCUAUCAGGAGUUGGAUGUAACAACAGACUUACUCAAUGAAACCCAAGCCGGCUUGAAUGCGAUGGCUGGUGAGCGUCCGGGCCUAUGAAGCCGUGCCGUUGCGAUGCCGAACAGACAAAUUUGAAUCUGUCGUGGAUGUCCCAUAGGACGAUGAGUAGGUCCUCGUGUGGUGAGCGCCAGAAGGUGGGUAACCGUUGAGCCGGCUAACGAGGCCGUGACACGCGGCGCAGAUCUCUUGGUGGUAGUAAGGCAAUUACUGCAAUGCUGAGAACCUUGAGGGACUGAAAGUAAGUGGUUAGAAGGGUUUUCCAGUGGUGAACAAGCAGUUGAAAUGGCCGUCAGCAGCGUCCUAAGCGAGAUCGGGUAAACUGCUCGUAUUUAAAUUGAGCGCAGGGUGAACAACUAUCACUGAUAAUACUCCUUGAAGUGCUUGAUAGAUCGCCCCUCCGGGCAAGCGGUAAAACGUUCAAACGGGAAAUCGUGUUAAUUGAUCGAUUACAUCGACCCCUUACCGUGGAGAUCGCCCCCUUUCGGGGGGGAGCAAGUGCGGGCUAACGCAAACGAAAGUUCACAGAGACGUUUGUCGUCGGCUGGAGCCUACUUCCCGGGAAGGCCGAGUGUCGUCUUGGUUUCUUUGAAGGAGCGUACCGCAACCCUGUACUAGACCCCUGGAAUCGGCUCUAUGUCGGAGAUAGGGGCGUGGCUUCCGUAAAGGACAGCGCGGGUAUUUCUUGCGCUUCCGGUGCACUCACGGUGUCCUUAGUGUGCGGUAGAGGUACCCUUGAAAAUCUGCAUUAGUGGGUGAAAGUAGACCAGUAGUGAUUUUCACGGUAAGGCCGUACCCAUAUAUCCGCAGCAGUGCGUCUCCAAGGUGAACAGCCUCUAGUCCUAGAACAAUGUACGGUUAAGGGGAAGUCGGCAAAAAUGGAUCCGUAACUUCGGGAAAAAGGAUUGGCUCUGGAGGGCUGGUCGGAUGGGCUUGGCGUAAGAAGCUGUUCCGGUGUUUGUGUGAGGACUGGGCAGAGGGCGCUUUGUCGGGCUUUAUCUCGGCACGGCAUGCGCGAGACCAGUGGCCCAGUAGAACGACGAUCAGCUGUGCUUGUCGUCGUUUCGGCUGGCAGCUUCGUCGGCAACAAAACAGCCCAACUCAGAGAACUGGGCACGGACUAGGGGAAUCCGACCUGUCUAAUUAAAACAAAAGCAUUGCGAUGGCUGUUUGCUCGGUGUUGACGCAAUGUGAUUUCUGCUGCCAGUGCUCUGAAUGUCAAAGUGAAGAAAUUCAAUCAAGCGCGGGUAAACGGCGGGAGUAACUAUGACUGACUGCUCAUUAAGGUAGCACAUAAUGCCACUCGUCAUCAUAAUUAGUGCACGCGCAUGAAGUGGAUUAACGAGAUUCCCACUGUCCAGCUAUCUACUAUCUAGCGAAACCACAGACCAGGAACGGGCUUGGGCAGAAUCAGCGGGGAAAGAAGACCCUGUUGAGCUUGACUCUAGUCCGACUUUCGUGAAGAGAAGAUGAGAGGUGUAGUAUAGGUGGGAGCGUCAGCGACUUUGAAAUACCACUACUUUUAUACGUUUCUUUACCUUAUUCAUGUGAAAGCGGAGGAGCGCCUUCACGGGCCUCUCGUUUCUGGUGUUAAAGCGGCUGGCCCUCGGCGGCCGGCCGUGAUGCUCUGAGACAGAUGUCAGGCGGGAGUUUGACUGGGGCGGGUACAUCUGUCAAAAGGUAAACGCGCAGGUGUCCCAAGAUGAGCUCAGUCCAGGACAAGAACCUGGCGUAGAGCAAAAGGGCAAAAAGCUCAUUUGAUAUUUUGAUUUUCAGUAAAGAAUACCAGACGUGAAAGCGCGCGGCCUAAUCGAUCCUUUGAUUAAAUCAGAGUUUGAUGCAAGGGAUGUCCAGAAAAGUUACCACAGGGAUAACUGGCUUGUGGCGGCCAAAGCGUUUCAUAGCGACGUCGCUUUUUGAUCCUUCGAUGUCGGCUCUUUCCUAUCAUUGUGAAGCAGAAUUCACCAAGCGUUGGAUUGUUCACCCACCAAAAUAGGGAACGUGAGCUGCGUUUAUAGACGGCGUCGUGAGACAGGUUAGUUUUACCCUACUGAUGUCUUCGUCGUUGCUAUGCGUAAUCCUGCUUAGUAACGAGAGGAACUCGCAGGUGUCAGACAUUGGUUUAUGUGCUUUGGUCGAAAGACAAUGGUGCGAAGCUACAUCUGAGGGAUUAAGACUGAAAGCCUCAUUUAAGUCUGAAUCGCCGCCCAGAAAUGCAACGAUACUAUCAGGUGCGCACUACGCGGAGGCAACGAUAUACUCGGCCCGAAAUCCGAUUUCGGCGGCCGAGACUGGCUAAAGCCACUGGAUAUACUGGCCAACCCGCUGUCU